AGAACAAUGGCAGCCAUUGUGUACACAAAGUUCUAGCAGCCAGACCCAUUUUUACCUCCAUUUGAAUUGAAGUUGCUCAUAAGGCAGAGUAAUAGAAAAGGUAAUAAAAAUUGAUCCAAGUCAACAGAGUUGUCAAGUGAACCAAUGAGAAUUUUUGACCAGCCAUUACAGGGCUACCAAUUCAGAUGAAGACUCUUCUCCUUGAUUUGUGUCCUAUGUGGAUUAGAUUUAAACAUGCUUUGAUUUAAACAACUUUGACCUUUACUACUGAUUUUUCCCAUGCAUGAGGGCCAGACUAGGAGAAAGCCUGACGGUGUUUAGGAGGGAAGCUGAAUGGUGGACAGUAGAGGCUGGGAAUACCGGCAGAGCAAAGGCAGGGAUCAACCUCACAAUAGGUUACUACCUCAUCUAGGGCUGGACUAAGUUAUGAAGCAUUUUAAAGCUGAAGCAAGAGCUUGUAUCUGAUGCAGGUGAAAGGAGAGCCGAUGUAGGAAGAGUGGGAUGGAUUACCACAGCUCCUCCAGGAUGUAAAAAAUAGUGGAUGCAUUCAGACAGGAUUUCUGUCCAAGGGUGGGGAGGAGCCUACAAUCUUUGCGGAAAGGUUGGAAGAACGUGACCUACUAGAGCCCCACAGUAUUUAUAGGUGACCUAUGGAGGCUGUUUGAUUAUUGAUUACAUGAUCAUUGCCCCAAAGAGACAGAAUAGCAGGGUCUGGACAUAAGUCAAACUUGCUGAGGUGAUCACAGUUGAUACACAGAACACUACAACCUGCCACUUCAUCUGAGCGUGGGAGAAUUGGAUGAUUCCAUCCCAAGAGAAAGGCGACAGUCUGAGGGCUGAGACCUAGAGGGCUUGCACAUGGAAAACACCAGGAGGAGUCAGAGGUACAGUCUGCCUGGGAAUUAACAGCAUGUUCAAUAAAUCUGAAGAUGAAUGGAAGGAAAAGGGAUUUGGUGAUUAUUUGAAAGAAAGGAUCAAGAGUGGGUUGUUUUAAACUAGAGAAGACCAAAGCAUGUCUGUACUGGGAGGGAAAGGAACCAGGUGAGAGCGAGAGGCUGACAAGAAGAAAGAGAGGCGGUUAGAGCUCAGCAGGAGAAAGAGAAAUUAGCAAACAAGAAGGAUGGGUCACUUGGUCUCUUCUAUUCAGUUUGUCUUUUCUGUCGUCUCCCAACAAAGGCUGAAAUGUUCCAGGGCUGCUCAGAGAUCCUGACAGAAAGACUAGUAUGAAACUGUUUGUGUCACUCUGGUGUUAUAGAGGAAGGAUAGUGUGCUGCAGCAGUACAGGCACAAUCCUUCUAUGUGAGAGUUUACCAAGAAGUGGUUUCUGUACUCAUAUGGAGCAAGAAACUUUCCCACACUCCUGAACUUAAUUUAACUCUGAGUAAUGAAAUUUAAUCUUCGUAUACCCAAACACACAUCUUAAACAUUCAUAUCCAUCCCAAAAGCAACAAAGUAACACACACAUCAUGUGAAACUAUUACAGAAAAAAUUUUCUCUGAAGACCAGAGUUUUAAACACUAAAACCAUCGUCAGUGACAAGGAGCUUAGUAUUCUGCACUGGACAUUUUCCAACAUAAGACCUAUAAUUUGGUACAACUUAAAUUAGCCAUCCUGGUCCUAUGAAGUCAGACGACAGAAAUAUCAAGGAUGUUACAGUUCCAGGAGCAUAAAGAGGGGCCCUGUUUCUAGAGUUCAAAGCUUUCCCAUUUAGUGGUGUCUCCUUCCCUGACCCAUUCUACCACCGACUACAGUUUGUAUAGAGCACAAUCCCUUAAACCCCAAUCAAGGUAUUUGCUCUGAUUCAAGUGAAAUUGCAGAGGCACGAAACAGAGAAACCAGGAAUGAGGAGGAGUGAGGGAAGCAACAUGGGGGCACUUUCUUACCAAAUACCAGGGCACUCAUUUAUACA